rnacentral:rRNA from 1 species
AAGCGAAUAAGGGCGUACGGCGGAUGCCUAGGCUUCUAGAGGCGAUGAAGGACGUGACAAGCUGCGAUAAGCUUCGGGGAGGUGCACAUAACCUUUGAUCCGGAGAUUUCCGAAUGGGACAACCCAGCAUGUUGAAGACAUGUUACCCGAAAGGGGGCGAACCCAGGGAACUGAAACAUCUAAGUACCUGGAGGAAGAGAAAAUAAUAAUGAUUCCCAAAGUAGUGGCGAGCGAAAUGGGAAGAGCCCAAACCAAUGUUGUUUCGGCAAUAUUGGGGUUGUAGGACCACGACAUCGAUUGCUCAACGAAUUAGAAUGAAUUGGAAAGUUCAACCAUAGAGGGUGAUAGUCCCGUAUAGGUAAGUUCGAGUUAAUGGUAGUGGUAUCCUGAGUAGCGCGGGACACGUGAAAUCCUGUGUGAAUCUGUCAGAACCAUCUGAUAAGGCUAAAUACUCCUAGAAGACCGAUAGUGCACUAGUACCGUGAGGGAAAGGUGAAAAGUACCCUGAAUAAGGGAGUGAAAUAGUACCUGAAACCGUACGCCUACAAGCGGUCGGAGCAGACUUGUUCUGUGACGGCGUGCCUUUUGCAUAAUGAUCCUACGAGUUACUCCUCACUAGCGAGGUUAAUCCGUUGAGCGGAGCAGCCGAAGCGAAAGCGAGUCUGAAUAGGGCGCUUAGUUAGUGGGGGUAGACGCGAAACCCGGUGAUCUACCCAUGGCCAGGUUGAAGCUCUGGUAACACAGAGUGGAGGACCGAACCAGUUGACGUUGAAAAGUCUUUGGAUGAGCUGUGGGUAGGGGUGAAAGGCUAAUCAAACUGGGAAAUAGCUCGUUCUCCCCGAAAUGCAUUUAGGUGCAGCCUCAAGUUUAGUUUAGUAGAGGUAGAGCGACUGGUUGGAUGCGGGGGCUUCACCGCCUACCAAAUCCUGUCAAACUCCGAAUGCUACUAAAUAUACUUGGGAGUGAGGGCAUGGGUGCUAAGGUCCUUGUCCGAGAGGGAAACAACCCAGACUAUCUGCUAAGGCCCCCAAAUGUAUGCUAAGUUGAUCAAACGUGGUCUGAUUGCUUUGACAGCUAGGAUGUUGGCUUGGAAGCAGCCAUUCAUUUAAAGAGUGCGUAACAGCUCACUAGUCGAGCGAUCGGGCGUGGAUAAUAAUCGGGCAUUAAGCAUACUGCCGAAGCAAUAGCAUCGAAAGAUGGGUAGGGGAGCAUUCUAGUUGCGCUGAAGGUGAACUGUGAGGUUUGCUGGAGCGGCUAGAAAAGAAAAUGUAGGAAUAAGUAACGAUAAAGCAGGCGAGAAACCUGCUCACCGAUAGACUAAGGUUUCCUGAACAACGCUAAUCGGUUCAGGGUUAGUCGGGACCUAAGGCGAACCCGAAUGGGGUAGUCGAUGGAAAACGGGUUAAUAUUCCCGUACUUGUGUAUACUGCGAUGGGGUGACGGAGUAGUGAAAGUCCUGCGUACUGACGGAAUAGUACGUUGAAGCCAGUAGAUAUAGGCACUGUAGGUAAAUCCGCAGAGCUUGUCGAAGGUGAUAGUACUCGGAGUCUUCGGAUGAAGAGAUAUGGACCUAAUCAGACUUCCAAGAAAAACCUCUAAGCUUCAGGUAUACACGACUCGUACCGUAAACCGACACAGGUAGUCAAGGAGAGAAUCCUAAGGUGCUCGAGUGAUUCAUGGCUAAGGAACUAGGCAAAAUAGCCUCGUAACUUCGGGAGAAGAGGCGCCUCUGGCAACAGAGGCCGCAGUGAAAAGGCCCAGGCGACUGUUUAUCAAAAACACAGGACUCUGCUAAAUCGAAAGAUGAUGUAUAGGGUCUGACACCUGCCCGGUGCCGGAAGGUUAAGAGGAGAUGUUAUCUUCGGAGAAGCAUUGAAUUGAAGCCCCGGUAAACGGCGGCCGUAACUAUAACGGUCCUAAGGUAGCGAAAUUCCUUGUCGGGUAAGUUCCGACCUGCACGAAUGGUGCAACGAUCUGGGCACUGUCUCAGCCAUGAGCUCGGUGAAAUUGUAGUCUCGGUGAAGAUGCCGAGUACCCGCAAUGGGACGAAAAGACCCCGUGAACCUUCACUACAGCUUAGUAUUGACUUCGGAUAAACAAUGUGUAGGAUAGGUGGGAGACGUUGAAGCAGCAUCGCCAGGUGUUGUGGAGUCGUCCUUGAAAUACCACCCUUUGUUUAUUUGAAGCCUAACCUCGCAAGAGGGACAGUGCUUGGUGGGUAGUUUGACUGGGGUGGUCGCCUCCAAAAGAGUAACGGAGGCUUCUAAAGGUACCCUCAGCACGCUUGGUAACCGUGCGUAGAGUGCAAUGGCAUAAGGGUGCUUAACUGUGAGACCUACAAGUCGAUCAGGUGCGAAAGCAGAGCAUAGUGAUCCGGUGGUUCCGUAUGGAAGGGCCAUCGCUCAAAGGAUAAAAGGUACUCCGGGGAUAACAGGCUGAUCUCCCCCAAGAGCUCACAUCGACGGGGGGGUUUGGCACCUCGAUGUCGGCUCGUCACAUCCUGGGGCUGGAGAAGGUCCCAAGGGUUGGGCUGUUCGCCCAUUAAAGUGGCACGCGAGCUGGGUUCAGAACGUCGCGAGACAGUUCGGUCUCUAUCUAUUGCGGGCGUUAGAAAUUUGAAGGGAGCUGACUUUAGUACGAGAGGACCGAGUCGGACGAACCUCUAGUGUACCUGUUGUGGCGCCAGCUGCAUCGCAGGGUAGCUAUGUUCGGAUGAGAUAAGCGCUGAAAGCAUAUAAGCGCGAAACUCGCCCUAAGAUGAGAUUUCUUUUAAGGGUCGUUCGAGAUCAGGACGUUGAUAGGCUACAGGUGUAAAGGCAGUAAUGUCAUAGCCGAGUAGUACUAAUUACCCGUAAGCUUU